UACGUAGGGUCCGAGCGUUGUCCGGAAUUACUGGGCGUAAAGCGUGCGUAGGUGGUUUGUUAAGUCUGAUGUGAAAGCCCUGGGCUCAACCUGGGAAUUGCAUUGGAUACUGGCAGGCUAGAGUGCGGUAGAGGAUGGCGGAAUUCCCGGUGUAGCAGUGAAAUGCGUAGAGAUCGGGAGGAACAUCUGUGGCGAAGGCGACACACUGGGCCAUUACUGACGCUGAGGCGCGAAAGCGUGGGGAGCAAACAGG
rnacentral:rRNA from 1 species